GUUUGACCUCGGAUCAGGUAGGGCCUCGGAUCAGGUAGGG
rnacentral:rRNA from 1 species